UACUACCGAAGCUACGGCAUCAGUAAUGAUGGGUAGGGGAGCUUCCCAUACGGGUUGAAGCAUGACCGUAAGGACAUGUGGACAGUAUGGGAGUGAGAAUGUUGGCAUGAGUAGCGGGAUGUGGGUGGGAAUCCCACAGGCCGUAAACCCAAGGUUUCCAGGGGAAGGUUCGUCCGCCCUGGGUUAGUCGGGACCUAAGCUGAGGCCGAAAGUCUUCGGUCAUGGAUAACAGGUUGUUAUUCCU
rnacentral:rRNA from 1 species